rnacentral:lncRNA from 10 species
GUGCAAGAAUUUCUCCUGGGUAUAUAUCCAAGAGUCGAAUAUCUGGGGUGUAAAUAGUCCCAUCAUGGUGAUGUCAAGCCCCAAACAUGAUGUCAUGAUGAGCCACCUAAGAAGGUUCAAAGAAAAAGGAGAAGAGAGUCUGGAAUUGAGUUUUGAACACUCCAACAUUUCCAGGCUUGGCAGAAGAGAAGUCAGCAAAGGAGACAGAAGGUGCUGCCAGAGGAGGAAGAGGAGAAUCAGCAGAGUGUGCUGUCCAAAGUGCCAGGGAAGAGGGUUUCAGGCGGAGGAGGAAGUGUCAAGAAAGUUGAACGUUUCUGAGAGAUUGGUAGAUUAGCUCCCAGGGCAGUCCCGCAGCACGAGGUCACCUGUAAUCCUCCCGGAUCAGACACGGUGCCAACCCAGGUGCACCCACAACCCUUGCAUGGCAGCAUCUGUCAUCCUGGUCACUCAACUGCCUUCUGUCCUUCUGGUAAGAACAUCCCGCCCCUGUGGAAAACAGCCUGUCCUUCCUCCAGGCAGGUGGCUCCAAUCUCAAUCAUGGCACCUCGAGAAACUACGGGUGAUCAUGGCCAAGCUCAGCCAAGGCAGAGCCAUUCUUCAGGAUUUAUAAGUGCAGUGCUCCACCGAAACAGGGAAACACUGCUCUCUUUUCCUCUGAUACCAUUAAACUGACAUGACAUCAGACUGAAGUGGCCUUUGGCAAUGGAAAAAGCCUGUCUGAAGUAGAAGCCGAAAUGAGAAAGGAAAACCUGGAUGUGUCCCUCCAUCUGGGUCUACUCUUGUUUUCUCCAGCUCUGAACCAAUAAACAGCACUGGCAUUUUGAACAC